rnacentral:rRNA from 1 species
UACGUAAGUGGCGAGCGUUAUCCGGAAUUACUGGGCGUAAAGCGUGCGUAGGCGGUUUAGUGUGUGGGAAUUGAAAGCCCGGGGCUCAACUCCGGAUCCGGUUCCCAAACUGCUAGACUCGAGAGUAUCAGAGGAGAGCGGAAUUCCCGGUGUAGCGGUAAUAUGCGUAGAUAUCGGGAGGAACACCAGUGGCGAAGGCGGCUCUCUGGGGAGUU